GCAUGAGGUGGCUACGUACCCUAUCCGCUAACCUACCUUGAUCCCACUGACAUCAUCCGACCUUUAUCCUAUAUCAAGCUUCCAUAGGCACAUGGGCUGUUUCUUCACUCUCUGCCACCCUUCCACUCUGGCUGCCAGUUCCCUCCGACACCAGGACCAACCACCUCCUCUCUCCCCGGGGGUUUCUCACAGUUUUAUAGCAGAGCGUCUACAUUUGAGGACAGAGCCAACAGCCCAAGUGAGUUCACCAUCUUGUCAGCUUUUUAAGGGCUUCUAUGAGCACUUUAUUAAUAAAGGAGAUGUCACUGGU